rnacentral:rRNA from 1 species
AUAACACAUGCAAGUCGAGGCAGGUGGCGGAUUGAUAGCGCCUACCGGCAGACGAGUGAGUAAGACGUAAGCAACGUGCCCUCGAAUGCCGGACAACCAACCGAAAGGUUGGCUAAUACGCCGUACAGCCAAAGAGAAGGCAUCUUAUGGUGGUGAUAGGCCCGCAAGGGUCAAUCGAGGAGGGGCUUCCGGCCCAUCAGAUAGUUGGCGGGAUAACAGCCCACCAAGGCUAUGACGGGUACCCGGCAUGAAAGGGCGAACGGGCACGAAGGCACUGACACACGGGCCUUACUCCUACGGGAGGCAGCAGUGGGGAAUUUUGGACAAUGGGGGCAACCCUGAUCCAGCAACUCUGCGUGAGGGAUGAAGUUCUUCGGAAUGUAAACCUCUUUUGUCGGGGACGAACGCCCGCAAGGGUUGACGGUACCCGGCGAAUAAGCCACGGCCAACUAUGUGCCAGC